rnacentral:lncRNA from 1 species
UUAGAAUUUAUGGACAACUCUGUCAUGAUUUUAAAUGAAGGCGAGAAAGGUUGAGCCAAUAUUGGAGCGAGUAUAUUUGCAAAUUCUGAAGCUCCCUUUCAAAUGCUACAGACUGUUAGAUUCUUAACUAUCUUGUACUUUAAGCCAAGUCUCAAAAUGCAUUUAUGGCACCAAUCUAUAGCAGUUACUUGGCUUAGCAUGAUAUGGAAUUAUUGCUGACUUGAAUUGCAAUUGUAACGUGAUGCUAUGCUUGGUCUUGCGAGGUAUUUCUUUUGGUCAUGGAUAACUUGGCGUAGUGAUAAUGAUAUCAUGCUAGGCGUUUUUGCAGGUUCAAUAUCUCACAAUGGGCUUGGAGAAAAAGAUGCAAAAUAAGUGAUCCUGAACUCGGGUGAUGAAACAUGGACAAUUGAGGUUUUGCUGUAGGUUGAACAUGGCUGCAACUUGCCGUCACCACGACAUCAUUAUUCACAGUUGGCUUGGUUUUGUAGUUUGGACUUAGACGGCCUGGCUAGUGGCGUUCCGAAUUUGUACUACAUUAAAGCAUCAGUUUGUUGUGGCUGGAACUUUUGAGCUUUCUGCAAUUACUUAGGCUUUUAUUUGGAAUGCUGAGUUUUGGAUAGUUUGUAGCCUUACAUUGCUUUGGCUAUGUCUGCUGCAUUCAUGGCUUUCCCGUCCAACCACCCUUUUUAUGUUCUAUACGUUUUGGAUAUGUAUGCUACUUCAGGAUAUGUAGACUGGAUAACGUUUAAUGGAAAAUUGGGUCAUGGAUGUUAGCAAAAGUGAUUAUGAAAAUGGAUUAUGGAUGUUAGUGGA